GGAGUGUUAUGGAUAGAAAUUAAUGUAGGUAAAAUGUCUAUUUACUAUGUAUACCUGUAUUCAGUAUUUACUCAAAAUGGCUGCUAGAGAACCCCCUCCCAUCGACCAAACACCUUGUGUAACAAGAUGGCGUCUCCAUCAGGAGUAAAAUCCCGAGAUGAUGGUGACAUCACAUUUUGGAGGAAGUGCAUUAGAUAAGACACUUAACACUCGACCAAUUAAAGAU